rnacentral:rRNA from 1 species
CGGGUACGUACUGGUAUUGUUGGUUUCUCCCUUCUGACGAACCAUGAUGUCAUUUAUUUGGUGUUGUGGGGAAUCAGGACUGUUACUUUGAAAAAAUUAGAGUGUUUAAAGCAGGCUCACGCUUGAAUACAUUAGCAUGGAAUAAUGAAAUAGGACGUUCGAUCCUAUUUUGUUGGUUUCUAGGAUUGACGUAAUGAUUAAUAGGGAUAGUUGGGGGCAUUAGUAUUCAAUUGUCAGAGGUGAAAUUCUUGGAUUUAUUGAAGACUAACUACUGCGAAAGCAUUUGCCAAGGAUGUUUUCAUUAAUCAAGAACGAAAGUUAGGGGAUCGAAGACGAUCAGAUACCGUCGUAGUCUUAACCAUAAACUAUGCCGACUAGGGAUCGGAUGAUGUUAAUUUUUUAAUGACUCAUUCGGCGCCUUACG